rnacentral:rRNA from 1 species
ACGAAGGCUUCGGCCUUAGUGGCGCACGGGUGCGUAACGCGUGGGAAUCUGCCCUCAGGUUCGGAAUAACAGCGAGAAAUUGCUGCUAAUACCGGAUGAUAUCGCGGGAUCAAAGAUUUAUCGCCUGAGGAUGAGCCCGCGUAGGAUUAGCUAGUUGGUGUGGUAAAGGCGCACCAAGGCGACGAUCCUUAGCUGGUCUGAGAGGAUGAUCAGCCACACUGAGACUGAGACACGGCCCAGACUCCUACGGGAGGCAGCAGUGGGGAAUAUUGGACAAUGGGCGAAAGCCUGAUCCAGCAAUGCCGCGUGAGUGAUGAAGGCCUUAGGGUUGUAAAGCUCUUUUACCCGGGAUGAUAAUGACAGUACCGGGAGAAUAAGCUCCGGCUAACUCCGUGCCAGCAGCCGCGGUAAUACGGAGGGAGCUAGCGUUAUUCGGAAUUACUGGGCGUAAAGCGCACGUAGGCGG